GUCAGUUUCACCAGCGUUGCCCGUUCGCCGAUACACAUACCGCCGUCGGCUCUUCUACUCGGCCAUCUCUGGUUAAAUCCUCUCUCUAAUAUUCCUCGUGUCUCCCCCUCCAAUCUUCCUUCUAAAUCUGCAGAUGGAGAGAAGCAGAACUGGGGUUUCUUUUACGGCGACAUCGUCGUCUAAGAGAUCGUUCGAAGAGUCACCAGUUACGACGUCAACGAGUUGGUUGUCGAAAGCCUCGCUAGCAAAUUAGACAACUGUGAUGAUCCUACAGACCUGUAAUGAUUCUGCGGACAUGAUAGCAGACACAAUGCCUGAAGAGCAUCUAAGGGACUGAGUAUUUUUAUUCUAUGCUAUCGUUUUCGUUAGGAGUCUGAUGACUGCCAUUUACUAGUUUCAUCAGCGAUUUUUUUUCUUCUGGAUCAUUCUUUUACUUGCUUCGAUGGACUGGUUUCGUACUGAUCAACUAUUAGCCAUUUGACUUUUACCUAAUUGAACAUUACCGAUUAAGUAGUGGGUAAAUUAUGGUAAAUGAUCAUCUAACAAAUACACUGAUAUCAAGAGGUAAUUAUGAUCAAUAUUUAUUAGUCUCAUUUUUUUUUGAUAAUGGGCACAAGUGUUGUAGUGUUUGAUGGCUCCUGUUGUUGAUGAUAGAAUUACGUUUUGAGUGACCAGCCAAAGUUUUUUAGUUGUUUACAUUUUGAUGUGCUAAACAUGAAUAACAUUGGAGGAAAGCAGCUAGUGAAAUGUGACAUCGUCUUUCGCGAUUGUUUUUUUUUGUGUUUGUGUAAUUUAAGUGCCUUUGGGCUUCAUCACUUUAAUCAAGACCUUUAUAUUGCUUGUCUAUUUAGAGGUCUGUUGUGUUUGAAGCGAGAAAAAAUGGCUGCCUCGCUAUCCGCUGCAAACUCUUCUGUUUUGCAUUUGGACGUUGGUGAGCUACAUUAUUGAAUGAUCGUAUUUGCUUUGUCCCUCGAUGCAAAUUUUAUAUAUGUUAUUCUUGCAAUUUUAGGUAUUUGCUACGUUUGUUGUUUUCUCCCAACUUUGAGCCUAAGCUACGACGAUAGUGAACUCUCUGAGCAGUUGACAUACAUCAUGAAACGUGGUUGGGAGGGACGCGCUGAGAACCAAAGAUGUGGUGUAUUGGCAAAUUCAUCAUCAAUCUCUAUAUUACCCUUGCUUACCUCCCGACAACUCAUCAUAUUAUAAUAUAAUGCAAACCAGAAACAAAACUAAGCCAUUAUUAUUAUCUCUUAA